CCUACGGGUGGCUGCAGUCGAGAAUCAUUCACAAUGGGGGAAACCCUGAUGGUGCGACGCCGCGUGGGGGAAUGAAGGUCUUCGGAUUGUAAACCCCUGUCAUGUGGGAGCAAAUUAAAAAGAUAGUACCACAAGAGGAAGAGACGACUAACUCUGUGCCAGCAGCCGCGGUAAUACAGAGGUCUCAAGCGUUGUUCGGAAUCACUGGGCGUAAGGCGUGCGUAGGCUGUUUCGUAAGUCGUGUGUGAAAGGCGCGGGCUCAACCCGCGGACGGCACAUGAUACUGCGAGACUAGAGUAAUGGAGGGGGAACCGGAAUUCUCGGUGUAGCAGUGAAAUGCGUAGAUAUCGAGAGGAACACUCGUGGCGAAGGCGGGUUCCUGGACAUUAACUGACGCUGAGGAGCGAAAGCGUGGGUAGCAAACAGGAUUAGAUACCCUUGUAGUC
rnacentral:rRNA from 1 species